UACGUAGGGGGCAAGCGUUGUCCGGAUUUACUGGGCGUAAAGAGCGCGUAGGCGGAAGCUUAAGUGUGGUUUGAAAGCCCCCGGCUCAACCGGGGAAUGUGAUUGCAAACUGGGCUUCUUGAGGGGGAUAGAGGAGAGUGGAAUUCCUGGUGUAGCGGUGAAAUGCGUAGAGAUCAGGAGGAACACCCGUGGCGAAGGCGGGUCUCUGGGCAUCUCCUGACGCUGAGGCGCGAAAGCGUGGGGAGCAAACGGG
rnacentral:rRNA from 1 species